GCACGCACCUCUUUGGCUGACCUUCACGGAAGCCCAUAUGCUAGUUUUAAUGAGGCUGAUAUUGCUGCUGUAUGCACAGAGGUUCUUCAUGGAUUAAAAUAUAUCCACAACACUCUUCAAAUUACACAUGGCUCAAUAACCACCAACAACAUUCUUCUUGCUCAAGAUGGAAGUAUUAAAAUAGCAAAUAUUGGAGAAAGCCUACUGAGAGCACUUGAUGUGAAAGAAAAAUAUCAGGACAUCAAAUCAGUUGGCCUUAUUGCUGUCAAGCUCAAAGAGAGACAUACAGGUUUACAAUAUCCUACUUCACUUAUACUACAAGAGCCAGAGAAUGCAUCAGUAGAAUUGAAAAAUUUUAUUAGAGAAUCUGCAUCUGGUGAUACUUUAUUACAUCAUGAAUUUCUUCUAAAAUCUCCAGGUCCAUGGUGUUUAAAGCCAUAUCUUUUGGAGGCAGAGCCAUAUAUCACCGAAUGUGGUCGGCAUAUUGAUAACAAUGAUAUAUGAGCAAAUGAAUAGACUUAUAGCAAUUUAAAUCUAGACGUGGUCACAGUGAUUGUCCCCUGCUCUCUUUCUUUUUUCUUUUGUCUUCCCUUCCUCUGCAUUAUCUGUGUCUCUACAUCUUGUUCGUGCCGGCUGCAGGUCACGUGAUAUUAUGCCAUGACUCUCUGCUUGACUUUAUCUCAGCAAGCUCAGACGCUUCACAGGAUAAUUGCUGUUUUGACACUGAUUUGAUGAUUAGUCACUUUUCAAAGAAGCUAAUCUCAAAUAAGUAAUCAACUAACCAAAAAUAGUCAUAUCACAUGAUGUGCAACAAUCCUGUGAAGCGUCUGAGAAAAAACGGUUCCAGUUUGUUAGCAACACGGGAACAAUUUGCUCUAUACCUUAGGUAUGGAUGAGGAAAGCAAACCAACUCCAUCUAUUCAGCAUCUCUGUACCACCUUAGGACCUAGGGAAAUCAAUGUUCUCGCGAUGGUAUCAAUUUUUAUUUUCAUAUUCCCAUUUCUUAGAUAUGAAGUAUCACCUCAAAGUUGAUCCAUUUUUUUUUGAACACGGGAAGGAUUUGCUAUUUGCUUGAUUUCAACAAGAAAUAUUCAUUUUUUUAAUAUAAAAAUUAUAUAUUUAUAUUCUUCUUCUCUUUAGCUAUAACCUAAGGUAGUUUACAAAUCUCAAAGAUAUAUGGCUGUUGUGUAAUUGAA
rnacentral:sRNA from 2 species